AUGUAUUAAAGUUUUCUGCUUUUAUUUGACAAAAACUGAAACAGGGGAUAAAACAUGCUGAAUUACAGGUCCAAAUCGAAAGAGAACAACAAUGCAUCAUCGAAUUUCUGAAAAUUCCUGAAAAUUCAUUCAUUUAUCAACACAUACUAUCCAUUUGAUUCAGUAAUCUGUCGCAUUUUUCCGCAAGGGGUAAUUAUAAACACAUCGUUUCUGAGAGUGGCCAAAAACAAGAACAAUUUGAUGACUCAUAAGGCAUGCAACCUUAAAAGCCGAGAGUAUCCGAAUUAACCAGGAAGUAAUUUUUGUUUACUUUUAAAAUGCCAACCUCUGUAAAUAGUAAUUUAUUUUGAGUAAACAUUGAGUGAGAAAUAAAGCCAUAGAAUACAUUUAUACCACUCAAAUUCAGCCAGUCAGAAUGAUGGGAAGGAUUGCAGAACUGAGUUUCACUCUCACCUGACUGAUGCAGAUUCAGUAACCUAAUUGCUUAUGAUGGUUUCUGAGAAAAAAACAGCUUGGUGUAAUUUGACAGUAUUUUUCAGUAUUUGACAGUGGUUCUAUCAUGCAACAGUCAUACCAUGAAGUGUCUCACAGAUUCUCUCUCAAUUCCUGCAAUAUCCAAGAUUACAGUGUAGUGCAAAGAGGAUUAAUUUUCUUGCAAUAAGAGGUAUCUGCACUUCCAAAUACCCCUGUACAGCAUGAACAGUUCCUUCUUUUUUAGCUCGACUAUUCGAAGAAUAAGGAGAGCUAUACUACUCACCCUGGCGUCGGCGUUAGAUAACAAUUAUUUGAAUAUAAUGCAAAUAAUAGGCCUUUAUUAUUCGACUUAGAAAUUCUGGUUAAUUCUUUGCGCGUAAGCACACAUAGGUUAAUAUCUCAGCAACUACUUGAGGUAUUGCAUUGAUACUUGAUACAAUGGUACUCAACCAUCUACUUAAAUAACCAAGUAAGAUAACUCUAGUUUGCAUUUAAUGCAAAUAAUUGCCCUUUAUUAUUCGACUUAGAAAUUCUGGUUAAGGUUUUGCAUGUAAGCACACAAAGGUUAAUAUCUCAGCUAUUACUUGAUGGAUUGCAUUGAUACUUUAUACAAUGGUACUCAACCAUCUACUUAAAUAACCAAGUAAGAUAACUCCAGUUUGCAUUAAAUUAAAAUAAUGGCCCCUUUUUUAUUCGACAUAGAAAUUCUGGUUAAGGUUUUGCAUGUAACCACUUUUAAGUCUGACAUUGAAAAUUUACACACAGGCUCCCAUCUAUUUAACCUUCUUAUUUAAUCAAGUAAGAUAACUCUUAUCUUUUAUAAUAUAUAAUUUUUGCCCAUUAUUAUGCGACUUAGAAAUUCUGGUUAAGGUCUUGCAUGUUAGCACACAUAGGAUAAUAUCUCAGCAACUAUUUGAUGUAUUGCAUUGAGACUUUAUACAAUGGUAUUCAACCACCCAACUUAAUUGAAUAAACAAGUUAGAUAACUGUAUUUUGCAAAUAAUGGCCCUUUAUUAUUAGACUUAGAAAUUCUCGUUAAUAUUUUGCAUGGAACCACAUUUAUGUUUAUAUCUCAGAACACCAUGUAUUGCAUUGACAUCAAAUGUAACAGUGAUCCAUGCAUGUUUCGCCAAAACUUUUCAAUCCUUACAUUGAAAAGCGGCGGAAUAGUCGAUCGCGCUGUCUCUGUGACAGCUCUUGUUUGAGUGAUUAUAGAGUGAAAAUGUUUCCAUAUAAAAUGUUUUCUUUUUAUGUGUAACACUUGUUAUGAAUGGUUAAAAAUACAUGCAUGGACAUUAUGAUUCCAAAUCUAUGCACAUUUUGAUUCCAAUAAUUAACCACAGAAGUAUUUUAAAUUUGGUUUGAAACAGAAAUAUUGUUCUUAUGUUUGUUUCUAAACAUUAUCUGGUAUUAUUCGUGUUUAUAGUUUCCAUGUCAAUUUAAAAAAAAAGUCAGUUCUUUUAAAGAUGCACUCUUACUCCCACAUAAGAUUUACCACAAUUAAUACUUUUGUUUUAUUAUUCCAAAAAGGAUGAAUAAAUGUUGAAAACAAUGGUUCUAAUGAAGGAUGCCUACUUCUACUUGAAGGAAAUGUGCAUAAAAGACCGUAUUUCUACCAUUUGAGAUAAUAGUAGAUCACAGUAAAUCUUUAUGCAUUCACCAAUCAUUUAAUAUGUUUGCGUUUUCAGCUUAAAUACACGGUUACAAUAUUUUUAUCAAUACUUAAUAUUUUCCAAAAAUGAAUUAUUAAGUAAGUUGUUAAAGGGUUAACAGUCAAAGUAUAUGUUUGUUAUACAUGUGUAUGCAUUGAUACUGAAUAAGAGUGUCACUUUAAACAGUUGCCAUGGUAACUUUAGAGUCUUGUUUUUUUAAGAAACUGUAAUUGUUGUCUAAAAACCUUUGUAUUUUCAAUGUGAUACUUUUUUAGCAUGUCCGCUUCAGUCAAGGAAAUAUUUCUGUUAUUUGUUAAUCAUUUGGUCAUACUUUGUAUACAAUUAUUUUUAUAAUUUAACCUUGAAAAUUUCUGACAAUCUCAUACUUAUAUUGAAAUAUUCAGAAUUGCUAGAUGGGUUGAAGUUCACCUUUAUUACAAUUGUCAGGCAAAUCAUGGCAAGAUAUACAUAAUUCUCCUUUUUAACAAAAAGCGAUGUUUAAAGCAUUUUUUGUAUUUUUAUUGAAUGGUUACCAUGGCAACUAAUUUUUUGUUUGCCUUUAAACUUCCUAUUUAUAAUGCUAUUAAUUGUAAAAAUGCAACAGUCAAGCAGUGAAUGGAAGAAUGUAAAUGUUCUUUGUCUUUUACCUUUUUCAAGCUCAUUCUUCAAGAAAUAAAGCAUUUUUAAAAUUUCUUAAAAAUGGACGUUUUUUCAUCAUUUUUUUAAAGUGAAAUAAUUUGCUUAAAACAUUGUUUAGGUUCUGAUAUUUAGGAAUGUGUAUUAAAUUUAUAGAAAAUAAACAAAAUGUGUUGUUUGACAUUAUUUAUUUCAUUUAAAUUCCGAAGUUUUGAAUUUGACCUAUUUUGGCAGAAAAAUUGAUAAAAAUGUAAAAUUAAAAGGGCCAUAAUUCUGUAAAAAAAUGAUGGAUU